rnacentral:tRNA from 1 species
GCCCGGGUGGCGGAAUGGUAGACGCAGCGGACUUAAAAUCCGCUGACCGCAAGGUCGUGAGGGUUCGAGUCCCUCCUCGGGCACCA